UGGAAAUGGAAGGAAGUCAGAAAGUAAGACUCUUCUCAAUGGCAGGCCAACAAGACAGGCUUACCAAGGAGACACACACGUGUCCAAGGAAGCUCUGCCUUGUUAACAUGCUCUCCUGGGAAUCUCACACGGAAAGACCCAGGUUUGAGGACGAAGCCUCACUCUGGAAAACUUUUAGCCGUUAUCUGAGCUCUAACUAUGAGUGUCUGUUGUAGCAACAGUGGAGACGUCGACACAAACAUCUGAAUCGGAGAUAAGCGACAGACAUCUUGUAACUUGCUGGCACUGUGUGAGAUGCUGUAGUGUGAGUCAGAGUCAGACCUCAGCACGCCCCUGAAGUGCUGUGGCCGAUGGCACUCCCGUUUGAAUGGACUGUGCAUCGCACCUUGCAUCUGCCUCCCAUUACCCAGUGCAAGGAAACCGACUGAGGCUGAAAGGAACAGAAAGCUGCAAGUGAGAGGUGUGUGAGCUCUGGGACAGCGGAGCAGAGAUUAUGAUCACACGGUCUGGGUGUGAGUUUUGCACAGGCAAGUGAAGGAGACAGAGGUCACGGAUGGAGGUGAAGCUCCUGAAUAUUUAAAAGAGCCGCUUCGUACUACCCAUUGUCUAACUGGGAAGCAGCAAGGGCAAGGACAAAGACCAACACACCUUACCACUGGCUUCGCUCCCCACAGUCAUGACCAGCCAGGACAGUCACAGCAGUCACUGUCAUGCAAGUGAUGAGUGCAGAGAGCAUACCCACAGUACUCGUUGCAGUGUGUAGAAAUUGAGCCGGGAGGAGAAAAGACACCUGCAGCCCAACUUCACUACAUGGGAAGCUUCCCCCCUGCAGGCAUGUACACAGAGAGGAGAACGCACACUCUCUAGGGUCUGUGUUACCUGGAGUCGAGGCCUCCCUGCAGGUGUUGGGACAUGCCCCCGGGAGGCAUAAGGAGAUGGUGCUCUGAGAACAUCGUGGGAACUGCCCGGUUGUGCCAAUGUUUAUCAGCAGGUCGAAUGCUGUCCCUUGCAGCCCGGGAGGUGGCAUGGCAGACUGGCAGACGGCAUCUCUCCUCUCAGCAUCAAGUCCCGAGCUCCCAUCCUCGGCAUCGUGUCGGGGUGAUGCUCUCUCAGUAAAUAAAUGACAUUUGUAAAAACAAA